rnacentral:rRNA from 1 species
UUUCCGUAGGUGAACCUGCGGAAGGAUCAUUCAUAAUAAGUGUUUUAUGGCACUUUUUAAAUCCAUAUCCACCUUGUGUGCAAUGUCAGUCGAUCUUCUUCAUGGAGAUCGACCAAACAUCAACCUUUAUUUUUUUAACUCUUUGUCUGAAAAAUAUUAUGAAUAAACAAUUCAAAAUACAACUUUCAACAACGGAUCUCUUGGCUCUCGCAUCGAUGAAGAACGCAGCGAAAUGCGAUACGUAAUGUGAAUUGCAGAAUUCAGUGAAUCAUCGAAUCUUUGAACGCAUAUUGCGCUCUUUGGUAUUCCGAAGAGCAUGCUUGUUUGAGUAUCAGUAAACACCUCAAAGCUUUUGGAUUUUUUAAUCGAAAAGCUUUGGACUUGAGCAAUCCCAACACCAAUCUUUUUGAGAUCGGUGGCGGGUUGCUUGAAAUGCAGGUGCAGCUGGACAUUCUCCUGAGCUAAAAGCAUAUUCAUUUAGUCCCGUCAAACGGAUUAUUACUUUUGCUGCAGCUAACAUAAAGGGAGUUUGACCGUAUUGGCUGACUGAUGCAGGAUUUCACAAGGGUCGGCAACGAUUCUUGUUAAACUCGAUCUCAAAUCAAGUAAGACUACCCGCUGAACUUAAGCAUAUCAAUAAGCGGAGGAAA